AUUCACUUAUAAAUAUACAGUAUAUUACAUUCAUUAUAAUUAUUUUAUUGGUACACAAAUUUCAUCAAAGUGAGAGACGCAUUUUUUAUGUGAUUUAUGGGCUUCCAAACCUAAAUUUUAAUAUUUCAUUCUUUUGUUUCAUAGUUAGUUUUUGCUUUGGGAUUUCGAUCCCCUUUUUUGUGUGAGAUUUAUUUUAUGUAGUAUAAAUACUUUGUGUUUCACGUUUUAGCAUACAAACAUUGAUGUUAAUUUUGGAGUUUGUAAUAAAUUUCGUUUUGGUGUAGGCUCCUUUAAUAGACAUACAUAUUGUCCUGUGUUAUGAUUACUUCAGAGAAUUAACUAUUUUGAGAUUAAAUGCAUGGGAAAUGGCCGUUUGACUUAGGAAGGGGCAGUGCCAUGUGACAAUGGGAUAUUAUUGAUUUGCAUGUUUAGCUUCUUUUCUUAUAAAAAAACAAAGCAUGUUUAGCUUUUAGUAGUUAUAACGGUGUCUUAGGAGUCGUUCGCUUAAGGAGAAUUGGCCAGAUAAGACCCCAAUUCUUGCCAAUUACCCCAGGGCUUGCACUAUUCACCAUAAAUGCACCAGAAAGAAAAACUGAAAAAAGAGUGGUAUACAUUUCUGCGUUGAUUUACGGACCAAGAUAUGGAGGUAUGAAAGACUACUUUACCCCUUCUAGAAACAUUUUCUCCCAUUAUUUCCCCAAAAAAUUCAUUUGAACCCUAGCACGACCUCUCAACAUCUACAUCGACGGCGCAACGAUUAGAGCCAAAUUCGUCGUCGCUGGCUGGAUUUCACUUCCCUCUUUUUGCCGAAAUCGUUUGCAGCUUGCCCAAUCUUCGCACAUCUCCCGCAAUACAACUGUCACCGCAUCUCAAAUCCGGAAGGUGAACGGGGCGGACUUCGUUGUGGUAAUCAUGUUGGGGUGGAAGAGCAAGUUGCCAUUAUGGUCGGAGUACUUGCACAUCACAAUAAGAAUCGAGUGGUCAGGUUCACCUUUAGGAGGUCUGGGUCAACAAUUUCACAUUAUGUUAACAAAGUACUUGGGGUAGUUCUAAGUAUGUCUUCAGUUCUCCUCCCUAAACCAAAACUAGUGUUGGUUAACUGCGAUGACCCCCGUUGGAAGUGGUUCAAGGGAUGUCUUGGGGCUUCAGAUGGUACACACAUCAAUGUAUUGCUUAGUAAUGCGGACAAACCACGAUUGAGAUCGUGAAAUGGCCAAAUUUCAACUAACACGCUCGCUGUAUGCGACCGUAACUUGUAGUUUGUUUACUUCUUGGCCGGGGUGGGAGGGGUCAACUGGCGACUCCAGGAUACUCAGGGAUGCAGUUGCUCGUCUAGAGGGUUGAAGGUUGCAUAAGGCACACACUCUAAUACGCAAGGUGAGAACUCUCCCUUCGGACGAUUCGCUGCUCCUCCGGUGACAGCGAGGAAGCUCCCCUCAUCUCCUCCCUGUCUGGAUACCUCUCUACUCACCUACACUCAUCACCAUCUCUCUCCGCUGAAUUGUCGUCGUUGUCGACUGCUCGGCAGUUUCCGUCGCCGGUUUCCGACAAUAUUAGAGUAGACUUGUCUUCCCUUUGAGUAAUCCUGGCCUGAGGGAUAGCACGGGCAAGGAGAAGGCGAAUGAGUAAAGUGAUCUAGUACGGCAUUUUGGAUUUUAAGAUUAGGUGAUCAGACUAGCUCUUUUGCUGUACAGCUGCUCAAGUCGGGUCACUAGCCAAGCUUUUGCGUUGGGAUGUUAUUAUUUGUGCGAUAAUGGUUACUCCAAUAGUAAUGGAUUCCUAACCCCGUGCGAUAUCACCUUCUAGAAUGGGGUCCUGGAAAUGCAACGCCCGAGAACCCUAGAGAAAUGUUCAACAUGCCCCACACCAAAGCCCGAAAUAUGAUUGAGCGUGCAUUUGCAGUUUUAAAAAUGCGGUGGGGUAUCCUCAGGUCUGCUUCAUUUUACCCGAUAAAAACCCAAAUUCGUUUGAUAAUGACUUGCUUCCUACUGCACAACUUCAUCCAUCUUGAGAUGCGAAUUGAUCCUUUCGAAGCUGAACUUGACGGUGAUAGCAUGGUGAUGGCUGAGGAAGAACAAAACAUAGGCCAAGAAUAUGUUGACUGUGUUGAACCAUCUGCCGAGUGGACCUAGAUGCGUGAUGACAUAGCCAUGCAUAUGUGGAACAACAUAUAGAGCUUUUUAUUUUUUCACCCUCUAAAAUAUUGUGGACCUUUGUUAUCUAUCUAAAUACUAUGCAUAUUGUGAUGAAUUACCUACGCGUUUAUUUUGCCAACAUAGUGUCUUGCUUUAUUGCAGCUGUAUGUAUACCGGAUUUCCGAUGUCUGCUACUCUAGAAUGUUCUUGCGGCAAGGGAAAAAUGGAGUUGCGUUAUGCCGGGCCGGCCGCUAAACAUGCUGGAAGGUACUACUACAAGUGUUCCGCCAAUGGACAACACCCGGGUUCCUUCAAGUGGUCUGACUAAUAUCACGCAGACAAACCACGAAAACGGUCAGAUGUGGACCUUCACAAACCUAAGCGGGGAGCGUGGGCAUUCUAAUGCCGAUGCAUGAUGCUGUGGGCUGCAAAGGCGGUGCAGGCCAUUGUUGUGGAAGCAAGUUGUCAAAUCCCAUCGUUGCGCAGGUGUUAAUCGGUUUCAUGUGCAUAGUGUUGGUACUCCUUGGUAUUUUAGUUGGCAAGGUCAUUUAGCAAGUUGCAAGUUUAUGAGUUAUGAAAUUUGUAAAUUAUAAGAACUCCAUGCUUGAGGACCGUGUGUGCCUCCUUUUGUUUUCUCUUUCGGUUGGUAUGGUAUGUACUUAAAACUAGAAUAUUUCUUCAAGUAUGCGUUUUGUAACAUAUUGGAUUUAUAGACUCUAUUAUUUGGGACUGCA